GACGAACGCUGGCGGCGUGCUUAACACAUGCAAGUCGAACGGAAAGGCCCUGCUUUUGUGGGGUGCUCGAGUGGCGAACGGGUGAGUAACACGUGAGUAACCUGCCCUUGACUUUGGGAUAACUUCAGGAAACUGGGGCUAAUACCGGAUAGGAGCUCCUGCUGCAUGGUGGGGGUUGGAAAGUUUCGGCGGUUGGGGAUGGACUCGCGGCUUAUCAGCUUGUUGGUGGGGUAGUGGCUUACCAAGGCUUUGACGGGUAGCCGGCCUGAGAGGGUGCCCGGCCACAUUGGGGCUGAGAUCCGGCCCAGACUCCUCCGGGGGGGAGCGGUGGGGAAUUUUGCACAAGGGGCGGACGCCUGAUGCAGCAACGCCGGGUGCGGGAUGGCGCCCUUCGGGUUGUAAACCGUUUUCGCCUGUGACGAAGCGUGGGUGACGGUAAUGGGUAAAGAAGCACCGGCUAACUACUU
rnacentral:rRNA from 1 species